UGAGGAAUAUUGCGCAAUGGGCGAAAGCCUGACGCAGCGACGCCGCGUGGAGGAUGAAGGCCUUCGGGUUGUAAACUUCUGUUAAAUGGGAAGAAAUACGCAGGUUUAAUAAACCUGUGGGCUGACGGUACCAUUAGAGAAAGCACCGGCUAACUUCGUGCC
rnacentral:rRNA from 1 species